rnacentral:rRNA from 1 species
UCCCAGUUCGGAUUGUAGUCUGCAACCCGACUACAUGAAGCUGGAAUCGCUAGUAAUCGCGGAUCAGAAUGCCGCGGUGAAUACGUUCCCGGGUCUUGUACACACCGCCCGUCACACCAUGGGAGUCGGAAAUGCCCGAAGUCGGUGACCUAACUGAAAGGAAGGAGCCGCCGAAGGCAGGUCUGGUGACUGGGGUGAAGUCGUAACAAGGUAUC